rnacentral:lncRNA from 1 species
AUGACCACCAGGAGUGGGCCCCGGCGCCUUGGAGACAAGCCCGUUUCUCGAAGUCUUGCUGCAGAAAACCCACCAAGAAAUGAUGCAAAAGGAAAAAUUGCUGGCAAAAUCAACAGAAACAUUUCCACGAAUCGCCUAUGGGGCUCCUCAGGACUUGCCUAUAUGUCUCCAAAGAAGUGUUUUCGGGCCACAGUCCUCCUCUGGCUAAUUUGUCAGGCCCCAUCUGAGAUGGCCAGCCUGAGUAUCCAUUACUGCCAGAAAGAUCAGCAAGAUCCACAGAAGGCUGCAGCAAGUGCUUCCUAUGACCAUCUGACCUAUAUUCUUAUAUCCUUGGGUUAUAUAGUUUUUAAUGUAAGAUAUACAUUUUUCUGUUAAUAUGAUACAAUUUUAAGAAUGAUCUGACUACAGAGCAACUGGGUUUUGAAAACAGAAGUAUCCACCACGGUUCUUUUCAGUGCAGAAAUCAGCAGCGGAAGAAAACUCUUCUCAGCGAUGAAAAUGAAGAAACACUGCUAGGAAAACGGGAAGAUUCACACAUUUGGAGUCAUGACCUGCUUGCUCUUGCACAGGAGAGAGCCUUCUUUGUUCCUAUUCCCAGACUCCCUCCCACAGGAGGCCAGGCUGGCCCCAUCUUUGCUCUCCUUCUGCAAGAAGGCAAAGACCUUUCUCUUCAGGCAAGCCUUCCCUCAAUAACUAGCUACAGUGGUGCCUCGACUUAUGACCAUAAUUCAUUCCAGAAAAUAGACUUAACUCAAAAUAAGUUGAAAGCAUCAUUUCCCAUUCAAAUACACUGGAAUGCAAAUAAUCCGUUCAGGCAACAAACAAACAACGGCACACAGCAGGCCCCGUUGGAAGGCGCUAGGGCUUUUAAAAAAACAAAUCAAAAAUAAAGUACACAGCAACCUCCGUCGCUGGGGCUUA